CUACACACUCAACAAAAUGGCUCAAAUGAAAAAUAUUGAUGCUAGCAGGUGGAGAAGUAUCAAGUAGAGAAAACAAACUCUUGUACUAUGCUGAUUGUCUGUGGAUACAAUUACCUUGAAAACUGGUUAGCAGAAUCUACAAGGCUUAAAUACAGCUACCCCAUAAACAAGUAUAUAUCCAACACAAGUGAGUGGCAUAAGUCCAUCAAAAGACAGAUACAAGAAUGUUCCUAACUGCUUUAUGCUUAAUAUCCCAAGUCUAGAAACCACCCAAACAUACUACUUAUACAGCAGCAUACUACCUACAAUGAUAAGUACAAGAAACCUGACACAAGAGAUCACACUGUAAUUAGGAGGUUCAAGAAGAGGCAGAACUGGGGCACCUGCGUGGCUCAGUGGGUUAAGCGUCUGACUUCAGCUCAAGUCAUGAUCUCGCAGUUGACGAGUUUGAGCCCACGUCAGGCCCCAUGCCGACAGCUAGGAACCUAGAGUGUGCUUUGUCUCUCUUUCUCUGGGUCCCUUCCCUGCUCACGCUCUGUCUCUGUCUCUCAAGAAUAAACAAACAUUAAAAAAAAAAA